UACGUAGGGGGGCGAAGCGUUUGUCCCGGGAUUUUAUUUGGGGCGUAAAGAGCGGUGUAGGCGGUUCGGUAAGUCUGUCGUGAAAUCCUGAGGCUCAACCUCGGGGCGUGCGAUGGAUACUGCCGGGCUAGAGGAUGGUAGAGGCGAGUGGAACUCCUGGUGUAGCGGUGGAAUGCGCAGAUAUCAGGAAGACACCAAUAGCGAAGGCAGCUCGCUGGGACGGUAUUGACGCUAAGGCGCGAAGCGUGGGGAGCGAACAGG
rnacentral:rRNA from 1 species